rnacentral:rRNA from 1 species
UACGUAGGUGACAAGCGUUGUCCGGAUUUACUGGGUGUAAAGGGCGUGUAGGCGGGAUAUCAAGUCAGUCGUGAAAUACCGGAGCUUAACUCCGGGGCUGCGGUUGAAACUGAUAUUCUUGAGUGUCGGAGAGGAAAGCGGAAUUCCUAGUGUAGCGGUGAAAUGCGUAGAUAUUAGGAGGAACACCGGUGGCGAAGGCGGCUUUCUGGACGAUAACUGACGCUGAGGCGCGAAAGUGUGGGGAGCAAAC